AUUGAACGCUGGCGGCAGGCCUAACACAUGAAAGUCGAACGAGUGGCGGACGGGUUAGUAAUUUCUGGGAAACUGCCUGAUGGAGGGGGAUCACUACUGGACACUGUCUCUAAUACCGCAUACCAUCGGAUGUGCCCAGUUGGGAUUAGCUAGUAGGUGGGGUAAAGGCUCACCUCGGCGACGAUCCCUAGCUGGUCUGAGAGGAUGACCAGCAACACGGGAACUGAGACACGGCCAAGACUCCUACGGGAGGAAGAAGAGGGGAAUAUUGGAAAAUGGGCGAAAGCCUGAUGCAGCAAUGCCGCGGGUAUGAAGAAGGCCUUCGGGUUGUAAAGUACUUUCAGCGGGGAGGCGUUACCCGCAGAAGAAGCACCGGCUAACUCCGUGCCAGCAGCCGCGGUAAUAC
rnacentral:rRNA from 1 species